GGAGGAGAAGGCAGGCUUUUCACAGAGUCGUAAAAACAACGCUUUAUUUUUCAUCUUGCAGAGCCUGUCUGGGCCGUGCUCGGGAGCCCCAGAAAGACGCCAGGCCAAGUCCCUCGUGAGCAAACCCUGCGUUCGCGGCUGCCGGAGGCUCAGGCGAAGGGCAGAGCUUCCUUUGUGAGCCCCCCUGCGGUAUCCAGCGGUGAUCCAGCGGUGACCCAUCGCCCCCAGAACGCGGGGCCUGUGCGGGCAGGUGGGCCCGCGGCUGCAGCAAGUGACCAAGAGGUUUGGAGAAAGAGAGGCCGUGUAGGCGUGGGGGGG
rnacentral:lncRNA from 1 species